CCUAUCAACUUUUGAUGGUAAUUUCUGCGCCUACCAUGGUGACCACGGGUAACGGGGAAUCAGGGUUUGAUUCCG